rnacentral:rRNA from 1 species
GACGAACGCUGGCGGCGUGCUUAACACAUGCAAGUCGAACGGUGACCCCUCUUCGGAGGGUGAUCAGUGGCGAACGGGUGAGUAACACGUGAGCAACCUGCCCCUGGCUCUGGGACAACCACUGGAAACGGUGGCUAAUACCGGAUACGACCCGCCAUCGCAUGGUGUGUGGGUGGAAAGUUUUUCGGCUGGGGAUGGGCUCGCGGCCUAUCAGCUUGUUGGUGGGGUGAUGGCCUACCAAGGCGACGACGGGUAGCCGGCCUGAGAGGGCGACCGGCCACACUGGGACUGAGACACGGCCCAGACUCCUACGGGAGGCAGCAGUGGGGAAUAUUGCACAAUGGGCGAAAGCCUGAUGCAGCGACGCCGCGUGAGGGAUGACGGCCUUCGGGUUGUAAACCUCUUUCAGCUCCGAAGAAGCGCAAGUGACGGUAGGAGCAGAAGAAGCACCGGCUAACUACGUGCCAGCAGCCGCGGUAACAC